AGGUUGUCCGUGUUGUCUUCUGUUCAUCUACGAUGAAACAUACACGGGGAAUCUCU
rnacentral:pre_miRNA from 1 species